AUGCACAGUGAGGAAGUAGGGCAAAGGCAGCAUCCGGCAACACUGAAGGGAGAGAGGAGAAGGCUUCCCAUUGAAGGAGAACUCCAGGGUGACAUUGGAGCCGCAAAAUGGAAGAAGCUUGGGAUUCUGAAUCACUACUGAAAAGGGAAUCACCCAGCAUGCACUAGAUCAUAAGACAUGCAGUGUCUCUCCAUUCUCUCGUCAGCACACAGGAAUCUGGCGCCCUCACAAGUUCACACAACAGAAAAACAGCAGGAA